UUCCACCAGCACUGUGGGAAGAAACUGUGCAUAAACUCAGCACAUGAACACGACGUGAACAGACGUUACACUGUAAAGCAAAGCAUUACACCGAACGCAGCAAUAAACACGGAUAAUACACCGCAACUCUAAACUCUAAACUGAUUCAACAUUUUACUGGGUUUUAAAUGCUACACAAAAUAGAAACUGAUAUUUCAGCACUUGUUAUGUCUCUUCUGUAGUGAUUUAGACAGCAUCACUGGAUCAUCACUGGAUCAUCAUCAUCACUGGAUCAUCAUCAAAACUGGAUUAUCAUCACUGGAUUGUCAUCAUCACUAGAUCAUCACUGAUUCAUCAUCAUCACUGGAUCAUCAUCGUUGCAGGAUCAUCACCAUCACUGGAUCAUCAUUACUAGAUCAUUAUCAUCAGUGGAUCGUCAUUAUCACUAGAUUAUCAUCAUUACUGGAUCAUCACCAUCACUGGAUCAUAAAACUCACUAAAUUAUCAUCAUCAUCAUAGUCGCAGGAUUAUAAUCAUCACUGGAUCAUCACUGGAUCAUCAUCAUCAUCAUCAUUGAUCAAUCAUGGUGCGCUUCCCGCAGACGACUCUGCAUCAAACUCGUUGGCUUGUUUGUUAGUUUUAGCUUAGCAUGAGCAUGAAUCUCGGAGAAGUUUCCCGAAGGAAGUAGAGAAGACAGAUCGGAUGCUCGGGAAGAGCGCAGCUUCUCUUCCUCCUCGAUUCGACUGCGGCACAGUUCAUUAGUUCAGGUUACAUAACUAUGCUAAUGACUUAAUGGCUUUAUUGAGCUGAUCACAGCACGGGGAUUUAACCGAUUUUUCUUUUUUCUUUUUUUUUUUUUUAAAGGAAUUAUAUCAACUCAAGAGGGGCUUUUUUUUUCAUGUGUCUGAUGAAAUAAUUAAAGCCCAAUCCCUGAUGCUGAUGCACUGGUGAUGAACCCCAUGAACGUCCUCUGGCUUUUUUCUUUUUUCUCGCCGUUGAUUUUUUCCUGCUCAUUGCCCUGGAACUGAAAAGUUUGGGAUUCAGUCCAGGAGGACAUGCAAGUGACUCUACAUGGUUUCUACAUGUAGGUGUAAAAGUCUGCGACGAGGCUCUGCAGUUCACCACGGAAACCGCCGCCAUUUCGGCUCUGUUUUCAGCUACGUGAAGAACGACCCACUGGGAGAGGAACCCGGUGUGGUCUCCUGCCUGACCGCUCCACUGGUGUGUGUGUUGAGAUGUUUUCCUGCUCAUCACAGUUGUACAGAUCGGUUACUUCAUUCGACUUCUGUUAUAAGAUGAGGAUGUGGACGAGUGCGAGGGCUGUUGGAGGACGGCCGUUACACAGUUGCGUGCCGAGACGAGUGCAGAACCCGAGCUGGUAGUCGUCUGAGCCGGACCUUCCGUGACUUCCUCACAGACCCCCUGCUGAGGCAGAGACGCCACUCUCCCUCUCACAAGCAUUAAAAUAAGAUGAGUUCCAGCCACGAGGGAGAAUAGUGUACAUCUGUGAGCGGCUCACUCUGAAGUGCUGCACGCGCUCAGACUCACUCACACGCAGGUCACGCACCAGGCAAAGUGUGACGGCUUACCUGCUCGGGAGAACCGGCAGCAAUGAGCAGGUGUGUGUGUGUGUGUGUGUGUGUGUCCAAACUCAAACUCACUGACAGACCACACACUAUACCAGAACAGAAUAAUAGUCUGAUACACAUGCACACACACAGUCGUGGAUAGAUAGAUAGAUAGAUAGAUAGAUAGAUAGAUAGAUAGAUAGAUAGAUAGACAGACAGACAGACAGACAGACAGACAGACAGACAGACAGACAGACAGACAGACAGACAGAUAGAUAGAUAGAUAGAUAGAUAGAUAGAUAGAUAGAUAGAAGGCAAAUAGACAUACAGACAGACAGACUUACAGACAGAGAGAAAUAGAUAGAUAGAUAGAUAGAUAGAUAGAUAGAUAGAUAGAUAGAUAGAUAGAUAGAUAGAUAGAUAGAUAGACAGACAGACAGACAGACAGACAGACAGACAGACAGACAGAGGGCAGAUAGAUAGACAGACAGACUGAUAGAUAGCUAGGUUUAAAAAUAGAUAGAUAGAUAGAUAGAUAGAUAGAUAGAUAGAUAGAUAGAUAGAUAGAUAGAUAGAUAGAUAGAUAGAUAGA